rnacentral:rRNA from 1 species
ACGGCUCAGUAACACGUGGACAAUCUGCCCUGAAGAAGAGGAUAAUCCCGGGAAACUGGGGGUAAUACUCUAUAGUCCGGGAGGACUGGAAUGUUCUCCGGAUGAAAGAUCCGUCGCUUCAGGAUGAGUCUGCGGCCGAUUAGGUAGUUGUUGGGGUAAAAGCCCAACAAGCCUGUCAUCGGUACGGGUUGUGGGAGCAAGAGCCCGGAGAUGGAUUCUGAGACACGAAUCCAGGCCCUACGGGGCGCAGCAGGCGCGAAAACUUUACAAUGCGGGCAACCGUGAUAAGGAAACCCCGAGUGCCACCACAGGGUGGCUGUCCACCAGUGUAAACAACUGGUGAAGAAAGGGCCGGGCAAGACCGGUGCCAGCCGCCGCGGUAAUACCGGCGGCUCGAGUGGUGGCCGCUUUUACUGGGCUUAAAGGGUCCGUAGCUGGAUCUGUGUGUCCCUUGAGAAAUCCAUCGGCUUAACUGAUGGGCGUUCAGGGGAAACUGCAGUUCUAGGGACCGGGAGAGGUGAGAGGUACUGCCGGGGUAGGAGUGAAAUCCUGUAAUCCCGGUGGGACGACCUAUGGCGAAGGCAUCUCACCAGAACGGCUCCGACAGUGAGGGACGAAAGCUGGGGGAGCAAACCGGAUUAGAUACCCGGGUAGUCCCAGCUGUAAACGAUGCGCAUUAGGUGUGUCAGUGACCACGUGUCACUGAGGUGCCGAAGGGAAACCCGUGAA